rnacentral:misc_RNA from 1 species
GCAAACUUGGUCAUUUAGAGGAAGUAAAAGUCGUAACAAGGUUUCCGUAGGUGAACCUGCGGAAGGAUCAUUAAUAAUUUUAGGCCGAAAGGCUUUCAAGUCAUGUGCAUUGUUUUUUAACAAGUGGUACCACUAGUUUAUAGUGUGCGGUAGGGGAGAGGGUACCAAUAUUAUUGAUGCAAAUAUCUGAUUUUUAGUAUAAAAAAAUCACAACUUUCAACAAUGGAUCUCUAGGCUCUUGCAUCGAUGAAGAACGCAGC